rnacentral:rRNA from 1 species
GACGAACGCUGGCGGCGUGCUUAACACAUGCAAGUCGAGCGGAAAGGCCCUUCGGGGUACUCGAGCGGCGAACGGGUGAGUAACACGUGAGUAACCUGCCCCAGACUUUGGGAUAACCCUCGGAAACGGGGGCUAAUACCGGAUACGACACAGCUUCGCCUGGGGUCUGUGUGGAAAGUUUUUCGGUUUGGGAUGGGCUCGCGGCCUACCAUCUUGUUGGUGGGGUGAGGGUCUACCAAGGCGACGACGGGUAGCCGGCCUGAGAGGGCGACCGGCCACACUGGGACUGAGACAGGGCCCAGACUCCUACGGGAGACAGCAGUGGCGAAUAUUGCACAAUGGGCGGAAGCCUGAUGCAGCGACGCCGCGUGAGGGAUGACGGCCUUCGGGUUGUAAACCGCUUUCGGCAGGGACGAAGCGUAAGUGACGGUACCUGCAGAAGAAGCGCCGGCCAACUACGUG